AUACUUACCUGACUGGGAAAGAAAUCUGAUCCAUAAGGGGUUCUUCCAGAGUGAGGCUUGGGCAUUGCACAUCGCUCAAGGCUGACCUCUGCGAUUACCGCUAACGUCGGUAACUCGACAGUAUAAUUUCUGGUAGCGGAAGCCUGCGUUCGCGCUCGCUUCCU
rnacentral:snRNA from 1 species